rnacentral:rRNA from 1 species
GUGGGGAAUCUUGCGCAAUGGGCGAAAGCCUGACGCAGCCAUGCCGCGUGAAUGAUGAAGGUCUUAGGAUUGUAAAAUUCUUUCACCGGGGACGAUAAUGACGGUACCCGGAGAAGAAGCUCCGGCUAACUUCGUGCCAGCAGCCGCGGUAAUACGAAGGGGGCUAGCGUUGCUCGAACUUACUGGGCGUAAAGGGCGCGUAGGCGGACAGCUUAGUCAGAGGUGAAAGCCCAGGGCUCAACCUUGGAAUUGCCUUUGAUACUGGCUGUCUUGAGUGUGGGAGAGGUGAGUGGAACUCCGAGUGUAGAGGUGAAAUUCGUAGAUAUUCGGAAGAACACCAGUGGCGAAGGCGACAUACUGGUCCAUUACUGACGCUGAGGCUCGAAAGCGUGGGGAGCAAACAGGAUUAGAUACCCCUGUAGUCC